rnacentral:lncRNA from 1 species
UCAAGCACCCUAACCCUCUCUAAAUUCGAGAAAAUCCCUCUCUGCACCCUCUCAACCUCCUUAAUCUCCUUCUCCUCCAACUUAUCCCCAAAACACAUCAACACAAGCAACCCGAACAUCGCAAACUGAAACUCAUCUACAACCUUAACACCCACAUUGUCAGUACUCUUGUAAAGGCGUUGCACCAGUACACCCAACACCCACUCCCUCGCAUGUGAGAACGCCUUCACCCUCGAAGGAUGCAAAAUCUCAGAAUUCAAAUUCCUCCGAAACAAGCGCCACGUGGGGCCAUACCCAGCAGUAUUAAUAUUAUGCUGAUUACAGCUUAAAAACCUUUUUGUGGGGGGUGGUCGAGGCCGGUCGGAGAAAAUGGCGCCGUUUUCAACAAGAGAACUGUGAGCCAGGGAGUGGGAACUAAUAAAGAUGACAGUGCGGGAACCAAAUUUGAGAGUGAUAAUAGGGCCGUACUUGUGUCCGAGUUUGGCUAGGAUUGGUCCGACGUCGGAGACUGAGUGUCUUAGCCAGAGGAGGUUACCGAGGAUAGGAAUAGAAACAGGACCUGGAGGGAGGUUGAGCCGACAAGUGGUGACGAGACGGAGGAGGGGUUUGAGUAGUAGAGCGAGGGAGACUGUGAAGGCAAUGAUUAACCAAGCUUCCAUGGUGAUUUUCAUUUAACAUUAUGAACAAACUGUGCAUGUGUAUAUAUAGAUCGCCAGCCGGGAGUAUUAUGCUCUUGGAUGACUUGAUUCGAUGAUCAAGAGCUUUCUUCAAAUGUCUUUAUUCAUUUUAUGUAAGAAUUUUAUGUAAUUGUGCUUGUCUGAAAAAUACCAAGUUGCCGGGAGUCUGAAAAGAUGGUGAAUUGUGCUUGUCCGAAAGUACUUGUCAUGUUUGAAAUCCGUGUAAUUCACUUGUUCCUUUCGGAUUGUAUACGUUUACGACAGGAUUUCGAGGUUUUUUUUAGAUCUAAUUCAUGCUCGUCACGUAUUUUGAGUCUUUUGUAAAAUAUAAUUUUAAAAUUAUUUUUCUUCAGAAUAAAAAUUAAAGUUUUAAAUUUUAGUUCAGUAACCAAGUUUUUCAAAAAUAAUUUAUAAAAAUAUAUUUUGUAAAAAUUUUAAAAUACGUGCAAAGUAAUGCAAACGACUGAAUGAUCAACUUUUCUAUGUUAUAUAUAUACACUAGCUUAUGAUCCGUGAUUUAUAUUAUUUAUUAUUUAUAUUUUAAAUUUAAUUGAAAUAUAAACUCAUCACACUUACUGAAUUUAUAAAUAUUUUGACUUAGUUAAUAAUAAAAAGAUUUAUUAGAUUAUGUUAUAUAUUGUGGAGACUUCUAAACUAAACCAACUGGCUAAUAAAAUUAUUAAUAUUUUAUUUAAUAGUACAAGUUGUAUCAAAUUCGCAAAGAAUAGUGAACCACCAAAUACCAAUGUCAUAGAAGAAGUGGAUUUUGUUUAAGGAUGUUUUAGUUUAAUACGAUUUAUUAUAAUAGAGUUAAGUUCUAUGGAGUACAUAAAAACAUUGGAGUAUUGGAGUACAAAUCAUAAUUUUUUAGUUUGAUCAUAUAUAAUAUCUUUGAUUAUCCAAAUUUUGAUAUAAUCUAUCAUUUAUAAGUUGUCUUGCACAUAAUUGUCAAUUAAUCAUUAAUAUCUCUCAACUUUAACAAGUAUUAAGAUUAUUGUUCUGCUUAUUAGUUAUAUUGCAGAACAUAGAGUCCUAUGAUUUAUAAAAGUAAUUAUUCUAUCAUUUGAUCACGAUGUUUAUGUUGCAGAACAUAAUGUGCAGGUUGUCAAAUAUUUACAAAUAUUAUUGGACAAAAAAAAUUGAAAUUUAGAUGACUAGAUUACAUUUUAUCAAACUUUGUACUCCAAUACUCCAAUUUUUUUUGUACUCCAUAGAACUUAACUCUAUUAUAACAUACUAAGGAUGUUUUAGUUCAAUACGAUUUAUUAUAAUAUACUAUAUGAUGUCCUAAACUCACAUUUAGGUAAUGUGUCAGAAAAAAAUCCACUCCAACACUAUUCUGGUGUUAUCCUAAAUCACUAGCACAACCUUAAUUCUACUAGCCAUUACCUAUUUAUAAGUAACCGCUAGCCAUUACCUAUUUAAUAUUUAUGAAUAAAAUAAUCAUCACUCUCCUUUUUUUUUUUUGUCUAUUCUCACCUUUUCCCCUUCUCUCUCUCAAAUUUAUUAUUAAAAUAAUCUUAGGAGAACAAAUAUAGGGAUUACUAUUGGAGUUGACACUAAAAAUAGAUUGCCUAAAUCACUAAGACAUACUAGUAUUCAUUAUUUUAUACUCCCUCCGUCCCCCUUAAUUGUUUACAUUGGAGGGGGACACGGAGACCAAGACAAUGUAUGAAAAAUGAGUAAAGUUAGAUGAAAAGUGGGUAAAGUGGUGGGACCUACCAAUAUUUAAUACUCCCUCCGUCCCUCCCAUUUCUUAUCGAAUGGGUUGGGCACGGAGGUUAAGAAAUAUGAAUAAAGUAGUUCAAAAUAGAAAGAAAAAUGGGUGAAUUGGUGGGACCCACUAAUUUUUAAUGUAUAAAAGGGAGAUAGUGGAGUAAAAGUAGUGUGAAAAGGAAAUAAAAGUGGAGAAGUGGUGGAACCCAUUGACCAUAUUUGGUAAGUUUUGAAAUGUAAAGAAUUAGAUGGGACACCCCAAAAAGGAAAGUGUAAAGAAAUGGAAGGGACAGAGGGAGUAAUCAAUUUGAGAUAGUGGAGGGAAGUAGUGGGUGUAAUAGUAGUUUUUAUUGUUAAAUAUGAGAUAGUAGGGGAAGAUAGUGGGUGUAAUGAUGAGAAAAACUUACUAUUUAUAGUAACGUAAAGAAAUGAGAGGAACAUUCCAAAAUAGUAACUGUAAAGAAAUGAGAGGGACAGAGGGAGUAUUAUUUAUAAGUAAUAGGAUAGGUAACUUAUUGGACUUGCUCUAGGAGGAGUGUAUUCGAUUGAGAUUUUAAUGAAUUAUUUUUUUUAGAGUAAGUAUCAAUUCAAUAAUGAAAAGCGGCAUCUACAAAAAUGUCGCGUCGAACAAACCAUAAAACGGAAACAAUAGCUGAUUAACCCAUUCUUGUUGGAGAUACAAUCACGCCAUUUGUUGAAGAUGAUAUAUUUACAUGUACCCGCUUCACCAUAUCCAGUUGGAACUAAUCCGGUUUGACACUCUCACAAAGGAGNGGAGAGAAAUACCAAAACUCUCACAAAGGAGAGAAAUACCAAAACUCUCACUAAGGAGAGACUACAACGAAACUGAAAUUGCAAAUUAAAUUAAAAUUACAAAAUAAAAGCAAACUUUAGAUCCAGAAAACAAACCACAAAAAUAAGAGAAACCGGAUCCCUCUAAACCGUAUAGCCAUCCAUUUGAUCGGAGAAGACAAAAAUCCGGAUACUCCGAUGGUUUUGAUCUAAAGAUUUUUAUUGAAAAAUGAAAAGAAAACAAGAGAUUGGGGCUUUCCACCGGAGAAAACUAAUGGUAGCCCCGGAGAAUGGAGAUUAUAGUGGAGAAAGAAGCAAGGGAGGCGGCUCCGGAGAGAAUUUUAGGUUUAGGUUUGAAACGUGAAAGUUUUUAAUGAAUUGUUUUUUAUUUAUGGAUUUUAAUGAAUUGUAUGUGAUUUUGAUUUUGUGCGGAUUCUUGAUAAAAGGUGGUAGAGUUGAUAUGGAUUCUUUAGAAUUUAAGAACAAUGCUACAAUAUCUCAUGGAUUUUGAUGAGAUUUCAAAAAACUUAAAAUAUCGAGAAAUGUCACAAAAUCUAUCAUUUUAUGAAAUUCAAAACAAUCCAUCAGCAUUUGAAUACCAUCAGAUUUUAUUGUAUUUUAAACAAUCCCAAUUGAAUAUCAUUUGAUUUUAAAGCAUAAUUUAAGAUCUUGAAUAUCACCGUAUUUUGUAGUAUAAUUUAAAAUCUCAGUGGAAUAUUUCUAAAUUUUAAUGGAUUUGUACUAGAUUAUCAUUAUGAUGGGGGUUGUGCAAGUAAGUCUUUUUGGCCUGUGUUGUCUAACUUUGUAAGUGUUCAUGGUUUUAAGAAGUGAUUUUGGUUAGAGAAUUUAGAUGCAGAUUGUUUAUUCCAUGUGCAGAGAAGCCAUCUAUAUAUAUAUUAUUGUCCAUAUGCAGAUUCUGGUUAGGGAAUUUAGAUGCAGGUUGUUUAACCUCAUAUUUGUUUUUGUAAAUCACCAGUUGGAAUGGAGUUAUUUAGCUAAAGUAGGGAAAUCACAAUUGUAAGUUUAGGCAACAUAAAAGACAUUCUCUUUUUAUGUUGGUACUUGAGAAUUACGUGAAAAAAGUCAAAGUGACAUGUAUUUUGGGACGAAGGGAGUAGUACAUUUGAAUUGGCCACAGACCUUGUCCUUAUUGUUCACAGAAAUCCUCUUUCAAAACUAACUUCUUCUGGUUAUAUAUGGUUUUCCUCUCUACUCCAGGAAGCCAAAAUUUAGGGAUUCUUGGGGUAUCAUUAGUGCAUUCUCCUAGAUAAUAAAUUAUAUGCAUUUAGAGACUGUCAAGAAAUGAGAUGGAUCAGUAACUUUAUGGCCAAUUUUAUUCAAUAAUUUGAUGGCUUGAUCCAGAAACCUGCUCCAUAACCAGCUAUUCAACCUCGCCAUCUAUACCAUCUUGAUCUUGAUAAUUUAACUAUAUAUAUGAUUCAUGCAGCCAUAGUAUAAAAUUCAUCUGCUACUCCCAUUGUUCAAAACAGAUUGCAGAUACUACUUGGCUAUCACUAGUUUGCAUCAGAGUUUUUAGCAUCUUAUCUCUACAAACUAUAAUUUCAGUGAUAGCCAAAAAAAGGAAAAGAUGAAAUCACGUAUAAAAUAGCAAAAUUUACGUAAAAGAAAACGUGAAAAAGAUCAAACAAGAUUAGUAAUGAUAAAAAUUGCAUGUAAGAAUUGAAAGACUCCAAACAUAGAAAUUCAUCAAGUAUAAAAGCACAACAGGCAGCCUCUACAUUUUAGCCCUCGGCGAAAUGUGAGCAAGUAGGGGAUUUUUCAUGACAACAGUGAACUCUGCUUUCUCUGAUAGAUCAACAGGAACACCAUCAGGAGCCUUCCAUUCGAAAUGCCAAAUCAGAUUAGCCACAAAGUACUCGAGAUGAAGCAAUGCCAAGUUCAGGCCAGGGCAUAUCCUUCUCCCAGCACCGAAAGGCAUCAUCUUGAUCCCCCUGCUCCCUGUUAUAUCGAAAGCAUCUAAAUCUCCCUUUUUAUUCAAGAACCUCUCCGGUUUGAAUUCCAAAGGAUCAUCCCACACCUUUGGAUCCCUCCCCAUCUCAGCCACCAUAUAAUUAAUCCUCGCAUCUGUAGGCACCACAUAGCCGUCCAGCUUAACUUCCUCCGUCACAGAAUGUGUCAACACGAAAUGUGCAGGCGGAUGAGCUCUCAAACUCUCCAACACAACGGCCUUCAAAUACGGCAUCUGCUGCAAAUCCUCUUCCUCCACCACCACCAUUUUCCCUUCUCCCCCCAACCCCGGACAAUUCCCCUUGACACCCACAAUCUCAUCAUAAACCUUCCCCUGAAUCUCCGGAUACUUGACCAAAUUAGCCAUAAUCCAUUGCAAAGCCGUGGUCGUCGUAUCCGUCCCCGCAUUCAAAAACUCACCACACAAACCUACAAUCUCCCCAAAACUCAACUUCCUAUCCCCUUCCUCCGGAAGCUUCAACUUCAACAACGUAUCCACAUACGACACAACCCCCUCGUCCUGAUCAAAUCCCGACUGGAGCUUCUCCAGUCGGGACUUGAUCAACGGAAUCAACACACCCUCUUGAUUCCGUCUAAGCUGUUUCAAUUCCAACCAUCUCCGAUAAAACAAAACCUUCCCCAACACGGGCCAGAUAUCGAGCACCCUAAACCUCCCUAAACUCAACAAAAGCCCUCUCUGCACCCUCUCAAUCUCCUUAAUCUCCUUCUCCUCCAACUUAUCCCCAAAACACAUCAACACAAGCAACCCGAACAUCGCGAACUGAAACUCACCCACAACCUUAACACCCCCUUUGUCGGAACUUUUAUCAAACCGCCGCACCAGCAAAUUCAACACCCAAUCUCGGGC